UUAAAUUGAGAGUUUGAUCCUGGCUCAGGAUGAACGCUGGCGGCGUGCUUAACACAUGCAAGUCGAGCGAUGAAGUUUCCUUCGGGAAACGGAUUAGCGGCGGACGGGUGAGUAACACGUGGGUAACUUGCCUCAUAGAGUGGAAUAGCCUUCCGAAAGGAAGAUUAAUACCGCAUAACGUUGAAAGAUGGCAUCAUCAUUCAACCAAAGGAGCAAUCCACUAUGAGAUGGACCCGCGGCGCAUUAGCUAGUUGGUGGGGUAACGGCCUACCAAGGCGACGAUGCGUAGCCGACCUGAGAGGGUGAUCGGCCACAUUGGGACUGAGACACGGCCCAGACUCCUACGGGAGGCAGCAGUGGGGAAUAUUGCACAAUGGGGGA
rnacentral:rRNA from 1 species